rfam:Sus scrofa chromosome 7.
CCAAAGGCUCUUUUCAGAGCCACUCUCAGUUUCCAAGAAAGAGCUU